rnacentral:rRNA from 1 species
CGCGUAGGUGGCCUUCUAAGUCGAACGUGAAAUCCCUGGGCUCAACCCAGGAACUGCGUCCGAGACUGGGAGGCUUGAAUCCGGGAGAGGGAGUGCGGAAUUCCAGGUGUAGCGGUGAAAUGCGUAGAUAUCUGGAGGAACACCGGUGGCGAAGGCGGCAUCCUGGACCGGUAUUGACACUGAGGCGCGAAGCCAGGGGAGCAAACG